GACGAACGCUGGCGGCGCGCCUAACACAUGCAAGUCGAACGAGCGAGAGAGAGCUUGCUUUCUCGAGCGAGUGGCGAACGGGUGAGUAACGCGUGAGGAACCUGCCUCAAAGAGGGGGACAACAGUUGGAAACGACUGCUAAUACCGCAUAAGCCCACGGUGCCGCAUGGCACAGAGGGAAAAGGAGCAAUCCGCUUUGAGAUGGCCUCGCGUCCGAUUAGCUAGUUGGUGAGGUAAUGGCCCACCAAGGCGACGAUCGGUAGCCGGACUGAGAGGUUGAACGGCCACAUUGGGACUGAGACACGGCCCAGACUCCUACGGGAGGCAGCAGUGGGGAAUAUUGCACAAUGGGGGAAACCCUGAUGCAGCGACGCCGCGUGGAGGAAGAAGGUCUUCGGAUUGUAAACUCCUGUUGUUGGGGAAGAUAAUGACGGUACCCAACAAGGAAGG
rnacentral:rRNA from 1 species